CUUAACUUUAAUCAAUGAAUUAGGUAACGAAGCAAAAUCGAGUUUAAAUUUGAAGGGUCUUUCUUUAUUUUCAGACCAAGAACAGAGAAGAGCGAAUUCAGAAAAAAGAACGAAAUUUGUCAAAUUUGUAUUCAAUGCACUUGAUCCUAAUGAGACAAAAUCGGGAAAAAAAUCGAUUGGAAUAAAAGAAAUCAGUAAAAAAGUACCUCGCUGGUCCCAUAAAUUAAUCACCGAAUUGGACCAACAAAUGGGUGAAUUUAAAGAUCGCGCAUCAAUGGAUCAUCAACUUCGUUCAAGAAAAGCCAAACGUGUAGUUAUUUUUACUGACAACAAGGCGACUAAGGAUGCUGAGGAGGAAGUGGCUUUAAUAAGCUAUUCGCAACAAUCAGAUUUUCGGCGAGGUAUAAUUACAGGCUCUAUGCGGGCUCAAAGGCGCAAAACAUUUAUUUCGAAACUAUUUCAAGCAAAUGUACAUUCCCCCCUUUUUGUCGACAGAAUAACCCCCCUACGUCUUUUUUCUUUUGAUAUCUCUGAACUAAUUAAACCAAUUUUGAAAAAUUGGACAGAUAAAGAGGGAGAAUUCAAGAUUCUAGAGUCUAGAGAAGAACAAACAAAAAGAGAAGAGAAAAAAGAAAAGGACAAAAAAGAGGAUAACAAAAGAAAGGAACAGGCACGGAUAGCGAUCGAAGAAGCCUGGGAUACCAUUCCUUUGGCACAAAUAAUAAGAGGUUACAUGUUAAUAACUCAAUCAAUUCUUCGAAAAUAUAUUCUAUUACCUGCAUUGAUAAUAGCCAAAAAUAUCGGGCGUAUGUUAUUCUUGCAACUUCCUGAAUGGUCUGAAGAUUUACAGGAAUGGAAUAGAGAAAUGCAGAUUAAAUGUACUUAUAAUGGUGUUCAAUUAUCAGAAACAGAAUUUCCAAAAAAUUGGUUAAGAGACGGGAUUCAGAUCAAAAUUUUAUUUCCUUUUUGUCUGAAACCUUGGCAUAUAUCUAAACUGUACCCCUCCCGCAGAGAGCUAAUGAAAAAGCAAAAACAAAAAGAUGAUUUUUGUUUUUUAACAGUUUGGGGAAUGGAAGCUGAACUUCCCUUUGGUUCUCCCCGAAAGCGACCUUCAUUUUUUGAGCCCAUUUUUAAGGAACUCGAAAAAAAAAUUGGAAAAUUCAAAAAGAAAUAUUUUCUAACUCUAAAAAUUUUAAAAGGAAAAACAAAAUUAUUUAGAAAAGUUUCAAAAGAAACCACAAAAUUGU
rnacentral:misc_RNA from 1 species